UACGAAGGGGGCUAGCGUUGCUCGGAAUCAUUGGGCGUAAAGAGCGUGUAGGUGGACUGGAAGGUCUGGUGUGAAAGCCCGGGGCUCAACCCCGGAGGGUCACUGGAAACCAACAGUCUUGAGUCUGGAAGAGGAGAGUGGAAUUCCUGGUGUAGCGGUGGAAUGCGCAGAUAUCAGGAGGAACACCAAUGGCGAAGGCAGCUCUCUGGUACAUGACUGACACUGAGACGCGAAAGCGUGGGGAGCGAACAGG
rnacentral:rRNA from 1 species